UGGGGAAUUUUGGACAAUGGGCGAAAGCCUGAUCCAGCAAUGCCGCGUGUGUGAAGAAGGCCUUCGGGUUGUAAAGCACUUUUGUCCGGAAAGAAAUCCUUGGCUCUAAUACAGUCGGGGGGAUGACGGUACCGGAAGAAUAAGCACCGGCUAACUACGUGCCAGCAGCCGCGGUAAUACGUAGGGUGCAAGCGUUAAUCGGAAUUACUGGGCGUAAAGCGUGCGCAGGCGGUUUGCUAAGACCGAUGUGAAAUCCCCGGGCUCAACCUGGGAACUGCAUUGGUGACUGGCAGGCUAGAGUAUGGCAGAGGGGGGUAGAAUUCCACGUGUAGCAGUGAAAUGCGUAGAGAUGUGGAGGAAUACCGAUGGCGAAGGCAGCCCCCUGGGCCAAUACUGACGCUCAUGCACGAAAGCGUGGGGAGCAAACAGGAUUAGAUACCCUGGUAGUCCACGCCCUAAAACGAUGUCAACUAGUUGUUGGGGAUUCAUUUCCUUAGUAACGUAGCUAACGCGUGAAGUUGACCGCCUGGGGAGUACGGUCGCAAGAUUAAAACUUAAAUGAAUUGACGGGGUCAUAGCUGUUUCCU
rnacentral:rRNA from 1 species